rnacentral:rRNA from 1 species
UGUCCUACGGGGCGCAGCAGUGGGGAAUAUUGGACAAUGGGGGGAACCCUGAUCCAGCGACGCCGCGUGAGUGAAGAGGUAUUUCGGUAUGUAAAGCUCUAUCAGCAGGGAAGAAAAUGACGGUACCUGACUAAGAAGCCCCGGCUAACUACGUGCCAGCAGCCGCGGUAAUACGUAGGGGGCAAGCGUUAUCCGGAUUUACUGGGUGUAAAGGGGGCGCAGACGGCAAUGCAAGCCAGGAGUGAAAGCCCGGGGCCCAACCCCGGGACUGCUCUUGGACCUGCAUGGCUGGAGUACAGGAGGGG